GACGAACGCUGGCGGCGUGCCUAAUACAUGCAAGUCGAACGCACUCUCGUUUAGAUUGAAGGAGUUUGCUCCUGAUUGAUAAACAUUUGAGUGAGUGGCGGACGGGUGAGUAACACGUGGGUAACCUGCCCUAAAGUGGGGGAUAACAUUUGGAAACAGAUGCUAAUACCGCAUAAAACCUAACACCGCAUGGUGUAGGGUUGAAAGAUGGUUUCGGCUAUCACUUUAGGAUGGACCCGCGGUGCAUUAGUUAGUUGGUGAGGUAAAGGCUCACCAAGACCGUGAUGCAUAGCCGACCUGAGAGGGUAAUCGGCCACACUGGGACUGAGACACGGCCCAGACUCCUACGGGAGGCAGCAGUAGGGAAUCUUCCACAAUGGACGAAAGUCUGAUGGAGCAACGCCGCGUGAGUGAAGAAGGUUUUCGGAUCGUAAAACUCUGUUGUCGGAGAAGAAUGUAUCUGAUAGUAACUGAUCAGGUAGUGACGGUAUCCAACCAGAAAGCCACGGCUAACUACGUG
rnacentral:rRNA from 1 species